rnacentral:siRNA from 1 species
CUAGUGCUUAUUUACUCUAUACGC